rnacentral:rRNA from 1 species
AUGAUCAUGCUCAUGAGCAUGCAAGAGGAAAUGGACAGGCAAGUGGAGCAUAUUCUCAACUUCAAGGGCUCAAUCAAAGGGAUACGAGUGAUUAAUCGGGAUAGGGUGUCCGGAGCAUGGGUACUGCAGAGGGAGUACUUUGCUCCGAACUCAACUUUCUCGGAUGAUCCAUGGUUUCAUCACCGUUUUCGCAUGCGGAAACCAUUGUUUUUGCGCAUUGUGGAGGGAGUGGAGGCACACGAUGACUAUUUCAAGCUCACAAGGGAUUGCCGCGGCCAACUUUGUUUCUCUGCUAAGCAUAAGUGCAUGACUGCUCUUAGGAUGCUUGCACUUGAUACUGCCGCAGAGGCCGUUGGUGAGAUGGUCAGGAUGGGGGAGAGCACAUGCCUGAAGACUACUGUCAAGUUUACCCGCGUCGUCGUACAGGUGUUUGGAGCAGAGUAUCUGAGAGAACCAAAUGUGCAGGACAAAGAAAAGUUGUUGGUAUUGGACAUGCCAAGGAUUUCCAGGAAUGCUUGGAUCAAUUGGUUGCAUGCAUUGGCAAUAGAA